ACCCCGGGAGGGGAGUGAAAGAGAACCUGAAACCGUAUGUCUACAAGCAGUCGGAGCGAAAGCGACGGCGUGCCUAUUGAAGAAUGAACCAACGAGUUACGUGCACUAGCGAGGUUAAGUGGAAGACACGGAGCCGAAGCGAAAGCGAGUCUUAAGAGGGCGGAUAGUUAGUGUACGUAGACCCGAAACCGCAGUGAUCUACCCAUGUCCAGGUUGAAGCGCAGGUAAAAUUGCGUGGAGGACCGAACCUGUGAGCGUUGAAAAGCUUUAGGAUGAGAUGUGGGUAGAGGUGAAAUUCCAAUCGAACGCGGAGAUAGCUGGUUCUCCCCGAAAUAGCUUUAGGGCUAGCCUCAAGUAGUAAGUAUAGGCGGUAGAGCACUGAUCGGGCUAGGGGCCAUAAAGGUUACCGAACCCUGUCAAACUCCGAAUGGUUAUACUGUAGAGCUUGGGAGUCAGACUACGAGUGAUAAGAUCCGUGGUCAAAAGGGAAACAGCCCAGACCACCAGCUAAGGUCCCCAAUGUCGUACUAAGUGGAAAAGGAUGUGGGGUCUCUAAAACAACCAGGAUGUUGGCUUAGAAGCAGCCACCAUUUAAAGAGUGCGUAAUAGCUCACUGGUCGAGAGACCCUGCGCCGAAGAUUACCGGGGCUAAAGUACGAAACCGAAGCUGUGGCUACGACUUAGGUCGUGGGGUAGGGGAGCGUUCUGUGAGGGCUGAAGUCGUUCUGUAAGGAACGGUGGACUUCACAGAAGUGAGAAUGUUGGUAUGAGUAGCGAAAAGAAUGGUGAGAAUCCAUUCCACCGAAAGCAUAAGGAUUCCUGGGCAACGAUCGUCGUCCCAGGGUAAGUCGGGACCUAAUCCGAGGCAUGGAGCGUAGGAGAUGGACAACUGGCAGAUAUUCCAGUACCGGUAAUGAUUGUUUGAGCGAUGGAGUGACACAGGAGGGCAGGCAGGCAGGAGAUUGGUUGUUCCUGUACAAGCGUGUAGGAUGGGUUGCAGGCAAAUCCGCAACCUGUGAGUCUGAGGCGUGAUGUGGAGGUUCCGGAAACGGAACUGAAGCUGCUGACCCCACACUGUCGAGAAAAGCUUCUAGUUAGAGAAUUACCGCCCGUACCGUAAACCGACACAGGUAUGCGGGGAGAGAAUCCUAAGGUGCGCGGGAGAACCCUCGUUAAGGAACUCGGCAAAAUGUACCCGUAACUUCGGGAUAAGGGUAGCCGCUGUUGUGAAGUCUGAACAGACGGAGCAUGAGGCGGUCGCAGAGAAGAGGCCCAAGCGACUGUUUACCACAAACACAGGUGCCUGCUAAAGAGAAAUCUGACGUAUAGGUGCUGACACCUGCCCAGUGCCGGAAGGUUAAGGAAGGAUGUCCGGAGCAAUCCAAAGCAUUCGACCGAAGCCCCGGUGAACGGCGGCCGUAACUAUAACGGUCCUAAGGUAGCGAAAUUCCUUGUCGGGUAAG
rnacentral:rRNA from 1 species